AAUGAGUUAUGCCAUAAUAUCUCACUUAGUUCGCAGACUGGUCAUUUGAUGAUACGUGUGAGCAGCGGUAGUGCUUCGGUGCCUCAAGAGGGAAUCGCAGAACAUAGCCAUAGAGCUAAAAGUCAUAGAAGAUUUUUAAAUUGUUAUUUGAUUUUGUGUUGUUUCGGCAGUAGUAUGUCCUUCAACAAUCUGUUAUGUCCAAACAUGGAAUGAGUCGCAUGUGACUAAGUCAACCAAAUGUGGCAACAACAAUUAGUCAGCAAUGGAAUUAGUCGGUGGAAAACAACACAUUCAUUCCUGAGGAUGGUUUUGAGUUUAUCUAUGCUUAUUGCCAACUGGAAGGAUUCCUCAUUUUCACAGAACUUUACCAUUUUCAUGGUAUACUUCACUGUUUGUCAGCGGAUUGUCACUUGGCAUCAUUUGAAUGGUAUGGUCCAUAUCAGCAGUGUUAUGAUGCACUUCUUAAAUACACCAAUCCCUCAGAAAAUAUUCUAAUUGAAAUUAUGGAAAUUUCUGCCCUUCAUGCAGAACUGCACAAUGAUGGGUUCGUAUAAACAAGCUUGAAAUGACAAACCAACAGUAUUUUUGGUUUGGCUUACACAUGCAGCUCUAUGACAUGCUGAUGUUAGCUAAAUUGUUAUUAAUCAUAGGGGUAGGUAGUAUGAAAUGAAAUAUCUUCUCUUGGAUGUUUGUGUCUUGUAUUUGUUUGACAUGACUCUUGAUGCAGGAAGCUUUUCCUGCUUCUUACAAAAAGGGACAUUGGAUGCCUUAAUGUCUAAUACCAACCAAGUGUCAUUGCAAAGAUAGGUCAAAGAUAUAUUAAUAUAGAUUACACUCUGAGUGAUGGUGACAUAUGGUAAAAAGAGAGAGCAGUAUGAAUAUUUGCUGCAUCAUUUACUUCUAUUAUUUAUAUCUUCAAGGUAGAAUAAUCGCAAUGUCGUGGUAGUAAUUCGCGAGAGAUAUGCCAAUAGGGUUUCGCUGUUUUCAAUUCGCAAUCGUAAUGGAUUUGAAGAGUAUAUUGAUGGAGUUUUGGUAUAAAAAAGUACGUGUUCGUUGGAAGGGCACAGAAGAGUUCCGGAUCCUUUUGCUAUCGCAAAUGUUAUGGUAUUAUUUCACAAAUCAUUGAAGUGCUUAUUUGGAACCCCUUGUUUUCUGUGGCCUUGUUUCCCCCUUGACUUAUAUUAUUUUCUUUAACCCUUUAGUGCGUGUAAAACUAAAGGCUAAAAGAAGAAGAAUGAUUCAAAAACUGUGGGAGAGAAUCAUCAAAGAAUUAUACUCGUUUAGGUAAUCCUUUCGGAUUCGAUUCGCCGUUUGUGCUGCCCUUUUCUGUAAAGCACUUCUACAGAGUGACGACUCGUCGCGAGUGCAUGACAUCCAUAUCGAUAACGGUUUCCUGCGUAAAGACGAAUCCGAGCAAGUCGUCACUAGUUUACAGCAACUCGGGCUCAACCUUCGGAGUUAUUUUCCAGACAGUGGCUUUUCAUUUCUAUUGUCAUACCAGCGAUCAGAUUUGAUGUUUCGAAUUGUUUUGGGUUGCUAAAGCAAGAUUGACUUUCUACGAUGCUUCCACCAACGUGCAUGGUCGCCAAACUUUGUCGUUGUGUCGGACUGUAAAUCCGGAAGAUAAACGUCGAAUUUUUGGCGAUAUAUUUGUCAAAGUGAUAGAUAGAACGGCUAACGAUUUAAAUGUCAUUUGGGAUAAUCUACUUCUCUGACAAGGUAUCAAACUUCUCUUUUUGUUGUUGAAUGUAUUAUAUUGCCUAAUAUCAUCUAAUAUCACUGCAUAGCUGUUAUUAACCAUAGUUUACUUUUACAACUAUCAAAAUCUUAAAAAAAUGAGGAAAUAGAUAAAUUCUAUAUAUUUUUUAUCGUGUCGAAACCGGUUGCCAAAACAGCUGACAUUUCCCGUAUGUAUUCAAGACAUCUAGGGGAGAAAUCACUAACUCCGUAGAAUUUUUACUGGUAUGUCAGCUGUCCCGUCAGCUGUUCCAUUUCGCGAGGCUGUUUUCAGAGGAUGGCUGCUGAAACGAACGUCUCUUCUUGAAAUUUGACCACUGUUUCCGUGUAUUUUGAGUUGCAUCUUGUGAAUUCAAUCAAUGCAGAGUUGUUCAAGGAGGAACAUGGCUUGGCUUUGCUAGCACGUUCUUCAUCUCCGUUAGUCUGAUAUACCCAUUUUGUUUCAAAGGUGAUAGGUCUUUGAGAUGUACCUGAUGUAGUCUUGUGGCUGCAAAAUCAUUCAAUGACUUGGUUCAAUCUAGGACUUGGUUUUUUCUAUCGUGGUCAACAGUUUUAAUUUGCAGAGAACCUGGAGGCACCUGAUGUGUUUCACUGGCGUUGGAGUCACUCGGUGACAGUAAUGUUAUGUUGUCAGUUUAAAUAAACAUAUCCAGUAUCA
rnacentral:lncRNA from 1 species